AUGACGCACAGAAAAAUGCCAACCCUGGUUCCACUGGCACAAGCUUCACCUUCAUUCACUGGAGCCUCAGCAAGAAUUUAUGUUCUGAAAAGAUCUCAAGCUAACCCACAUGGGCCUGGACAGCAGCCUUUUCCACUUGCCUCCUCCGACCUGCAGUCUGAAUUCCAUCACCAGGACAGGGCUUGCCCCAGGGAGGGGACCUCCUUCUAGAGCAUUCAAUGAAGCUGCAAGAUUGAGAGGAGUAUUCUGCAUCUUUUUAAAUGGCAAAAUAAACUGUUCAGGUAUCCACUGUUAAGGUAGAGGGGAAUGUGGUGUUGCAAGAAGAAAAUUGCCCUGCUAGCACAGAUAUGAGAAGACAACAACUCCCAGAGCAUGCAGUCAGCACCAUUACUUUCCCUUAACUCCCCAAGGUGCCCUCCUUGCAUUUAUCUUUCUCUCCUACAUUGACCUUCACUGGAGAAUAAAAAUUAGAGACAGUG
rnacentral:lncRNA from 1 species